rnacentral:rRNA from 1 species
AGCCAAUGAAAUUGAUCCUUCAGUACAAAAGCUGAAAUUAACCCAUAAGACGAGAAGACCCUGUGGAGCUUCAAAACCAAAACCACUAAACAUGCCUCCUGGUUUUUUAGUUGGGGCGACUUUGGAGCAAAAAAAACCCUCCAAAACAUAAAUCUAUUUAUUAAGAACAACACACCAAAAAUAAUAUUAUAGACCCAGCAGUAUUAAUUUACUGUCUGAUCAAUGAACCAAGUUACCCCAGGGAUAACAGCGCUAUCCUCUUCUAGAGUCCUUAUCGACAAGGGGGUUUACGACCUCGAUGUUGG